GGGGAAAGACCAGAAAGCCAGAAAAUGUAGAAUACUGCCAGCCACCGACCAGAUUACCUUUCUCCAACUUCAGGCUCCUUUACGCCAGCCACAGCCCUAGAAAGCCACUAGGAAUCUCCGUGAAGUUCUGCCUGCAGAAGCCGUCUCAGAUCUCCUCGGGCUGCUGGCACCCGGGGACACCCCCUUCCUGCCCAGGGCUGCCGGGCCGUGUCCUCGCCCGGCGCUCAGCGAGCGCUGCCUCCCGCAUCCCCGCGGCUGCCGCCCCCGCCGCGCAGCCCGUUCGGGGCUCCGCUUCACCCUCAUCACUUCCUGGGACUCAUUCCCCUCGGAGGCUGGCGGGGUCCGAGCCUGCACCCCUCGGGGAGCCCCGCGCAGGGUGGGGGGCGGCAGCGCCCUGCCCCGGGGCCCCGGCGGCUGCCGCCCCCGCUGCGCUCAGCUCCGCGCCCCGCUCAGCUCCGC